rnacentral:lncRNA from 1 species
UCAUAUCCCAUUGCUACGAAUACAUACUGACGUAGUUCUACUGUCAAAACAUUAAAAGUUUUGACUUUUGACUCAUUUUGCUACUCCUUGGCCCAUUUGUCUGUAAUAUUUGACGUUUCGAAUGCCAGUUUAACCAAAUUCAGCAUAAAAAUAGGAGCAUAGAUAAUUCAUCUUUUGGAAUAGACAAUAAGAUUUUAGGCAAUUAAAAAUGAAGAACAUUAAGAAAACAAGCAGGCUAAGUAAAACAACAAACUUAGUUCGACUCUCCAGGCUCAAUUUAGCUUGAGCAGACCAACUUUUAGGUCUCAAAAAGCAAGUUAUGUGCUUUUAAAUAAAGGACCAGAGGGUCCAUUUGGACAGUUAAUAUCCCAGUAAGUUGUAUCCGUAAAUUAAGCACAAGUUUCCAUUAACAGAUUGAUGGAAAAGCAUCAGAGGAAAAACCUUUUCAAUCUGCAUUUGAUACCCAAUCGUGUAGAGUAUGAUUACGAGUCACUAUGGCAAUGAUGGGGUGUUCUAAGGAAAAAUGGAAGAAAUGGUUUCUUUCCACUCAUUCCCCGUCAAACAUAUUGGUGUCUUUCUUACUCUCUUACUUCUUCGGCAGAACUUAUUUUGCUCUUAUAACUAUGUUUCUUAAUGCCUUUGGAGUCAUAUGCUACCCGACCCGAGUGUGUAAGUAUAAAUAUCGGGGUCACCGACAUUAGUGACCCCCCGGACUUCAUUUUCCUUUAUUGUUUCUCAGUUAAUGCAACUCUCUCUCUGAUAUUCGAGAGACUUCUCACCUACUCUCCUCCUUCUCUCUACUUUCUCUCUAUAAUUUGUAUGAUUCUCUUGUUUAAUCUUGAUGUU